GACAGAGGUGCCGAGCGUUAGGCGGAAUCACUGGGCUUAAAGCGUGUGUAGGCGGAGCGUUAAGUGCUUUGUGAAAUCCCACGGCUCACCCGUGGAACUGCUUGGCAUACUGGCGCUCUUGAGCCACCUAGGGGCAACCGGAACAAACGGUGGAGCGGUGAAAUGCGUAGAUAUCGCUUGGAACGCCAAAGGUGAAAACAGGUUGCUGGGGUUGUGCCGACGCUGAGACACGAAAGCCAGGGGAGCAAACGGG
rnacentral:rRNA from 1 species